CAGCAGUAGCCGCGGUAAUACGUAGGUGGCAAGCGUUGUCCGGAAUUAUUGGGCGUAAAGGGCUCGCAGGCGGUUUCUUAAGUCUGAUGUGAAAGCCCCCGGCUCAACCGGGGAGGGUCAUUGGAAACUGGGAAACUUGAGUGCAGAAGAGGAGAGUGGAAUUCCACGUGUAGCGGUGAAAUGCGUAGAGAUGUGGAGGAACACCAGUGGCGAAGGCGACUCUCUGGUCUGUAACUGACGCUGAGGAGCGAAAGCGUGGAGAGCGAACAGGAUUAGAUACCCCAGUAGUCCCUGUCUCUUAUAA
rnacentral:rRNA from 1 species